AUACGGAGGGUGCAAGCGUUAUUCGGAAUCACUGGGCGUAAAGGACGCGUAGGCGGGUUGGCAAGUCAGAUGUGAAAUCCUACAGCUUAACUGUAGAACUGCAUUUGAAACUGCUAACCUAGAGUAUGGGAGGGGGAGAUGGAAUUAGUGGUGUAGGGGUAAAAUCCGUAGAUAUCACUAGGAAUACCGAAAGCGAAGGCGAUCUCCUGGAACAUAACUGACGCUAAGGCGUGAAAGCGUGGGGAGCAAACAGGAUUAGAAACCCUAGUAGUCG
rnacentral:rRNA from 1 species